rnacentral:rRNA from 1 species
AUGCAGCGCAGCUCCAAGGCGAUGGCGAACCAUUGGGGGCGUGUCCAGUUGGCGUGCAACAAAUGGCAUGGAAUCGUCGAGGAGGUCGCGGCUCACCCGGAGAGCGGCGCCAGCGUUGAGGAUCAGUUGCUGCGUAUGUUCGCCAUGUAUCGGGGCGACAACCAAGACGCCGACUUCAAACACCUCCACGUCUACAAGCGCAUUGACAAGUGCGAGAAGUGGGCGGAAGUCCGACGUGCCCUCGACAAGGCCAAGGAGACAUACAAGCCGGACGCGACUACUCCGGGCGCGUCAGAGGGGCGGCCGGACGGCCACAAGUUGGCGAAGAAGGGGAAAAACGCCGACGCGGCAACCGCGCGAGUGCAGGAGUCCAUCGAGCAUUGCCUCGCGGACGCGCAGGCCCGGGCCGUCCUGCGCGAAGAGAAGACCGAGGCGCGGUGGUCGUCGCUGAUGAGGAACAACGCCAUCAAACUCGACCUGCUCCGGACGAACGUCGCCGCGAAGAAGAGGAACACCGACAUGGCUUUUCUGAUGGGCGGGACGGACAUGCUCCAGAGCAAUGACGAGAAGCUCAAGGCGUGGUACCUGGUGCAGCGCGGCCUCAUCCUGAACGAGCUGCUGACGGCAACGCCGACGACGCCCACGACGCCCACGACCACACGGACGCCAAGCCCGGACGACGCCUCUAUGCCCAGCAGUGUUGAAGGCGCGCCGACACAGUCCAGCACCGAAGCAGCUCCGACACCGCCGAGCCCGCGCACGCCGACUCCGCCAACGCCUGGAGCCGACCCCGCCGAGUGA